rnacentral:rRNA from 1 species
CGGUAUCGAGUGAGGAAGCACCGGCUAACUUCCGUGCCAGCAGCCGCGGUAAUACGGAGGGUGCGAGCGUUGUCCGGAAUCACUCGGGCGUAAAGGGCGCGUAGGUGGUCAGGUAAGGGUGUGGUGAAAGUCCGGGGCUCAACCCCGAUCUGCCGUGCCGACUGCUUGACUGGAGCAUUGCAGAGGCAGAUGGAAUUCCGGGUGUAGCGGUGGAAUGCGUAGAGAUCCGGAAGAAGACCGGUGGCGAA